GGGGGGUGAGAUCUGAUGUUUA
rnacentral:misc_RNA from 1 species